rnacentral:rRNA from 1 species
AUGAACGCUAGCUACAGGCUUAACACAUGCAAGUCGCGGGGCAGCAUGGGGGUUGCUUGCAACUCCCGAUGGCGACCGGCGCACGGGUGAGUAACGCGUAUCCAACCUGCCCUUCACCACGGGAUAACCCGGCGAAAGUCGGACUAAUACCGUAUGUUGUCCAUUGACGGCAUCCGAUUUGGACGAAAGGCUUUGCGGUGAAGGAUGGGGAUGCGUCCGAUUAGCCAGACGGCGGGGUAACGGCCCACCGUGGCUACGAUCGGUAGGGGUUCUGAGAGGAAGGUCCCCCACACUGGAACUGAGACACGGUCCAGACUCCUACGGGAGGCAGCAGUGAGGAAUAUUGGUCAAUGGGCGUAAGCCUGAACCAGCCAAGUAGCGUGCAGGAUGACGGCCCUAUGGGUUGUAAACUGCUUUUAUGCGGGGAUAAAGUGGCCCACGUGUGGGCUUUUGCAGGUACCGCAUGAAUAAGGACCGGCUAAUUCCGUG